rnacentral:rRNA from 1 species
CAUAGGUUAAUGAGGCGAACCGGGGGAACUGAAACAUCUAAGUACCCCGAGGAAAAGAAAUCAACCGAGAUUCCCCCAGUAGCGGCGAGCGAACGGGGAGGAGCCCAGAGCCUGAAUCAGUGUGUGUGUUAGUGGAAGCGUCUGGAAAGGCGCGCGAUACAGGGUGACAGCCCCGUACACAAAAAUGCACAUGCUGUGAGCUCGAUGAGUAGGGCGGGACACGUGGUAUCCUGUCUGAAUAUGGGGGGACCAUCCUCCAAGGCUAAAUACUCCUGACUGACCGAUAGUGAACCAGUACCGUGAGGGAAAGGCGAAAAGAACCCCGGCGAGGGGAGUGAAAAAGAACCUGAAACCGUGUACGUACAAGCAGUGGGAGCCUCUUAAUGGGGUGACUGCGUACCUUUUGUAUAAUGGGUCAGCGACUUAUAUUCUGUAGCAAGGUUAACCGAAUAGGGGAGCCGAAGGGAAACCGAGUCUUAACUGGGCGUUAAGUUGCAGGGUAUAGACCCGAAACCCGGUGAUCUAGCCAUGGGCAGGUUGAAGGUUGGGUAACACUAACUGGAGGACCGAACCGACUAAUGUUGAAAAAUUAGCGGAUGACUUGUGGCUGGGGGUGAAAGGCCAAUCAAACCGGGAGAUAGCUGGUUCUCCCCGAAAGCUAUUUAGGUAGCGCCUCGUGAAUUCAUCUCCGGGGGUAGAGCACUGUUUCGGCAAGGGGGUCAUCCCGACUUACCAACCCGAUGCAAACUGCGAAUACCGGAGAAUGUUAUCACGGGAGACACACGGCGGGUGCUAACGUCCGUCGUGAAGAGGGAAACAACCCAGACCGCCAGCUAAGGUCCCAAAGUCAUGGUUAAGUGGGAAACGAUGUGGGAAGGCCCAGACAGCCAGGAUGUUGGCUUAGAAGCAGCCAUCAUUUAAAGA